UCCCUGGCAGUCCAGUGGUUAGGACUCAGCACUUCCACUGCUGGGACCCGGGUUCAAUCCCUGGUCGGGGAA
rnacentral:tRNA from 1 species